rnacentral:rRNA from 1 species
AUUGAACGCUGGCGGCAGGCCUAACACAUGCAAGUCGAGCGGCAGCGGGAAAGUAGCUUGCUACUUUUGCCGGCGAGCGGCGGACGGGUGAGUAAUGCCUGGGAAAUUGCCCAGUCGGGGGGGAUAACAGUUGGAAACGACUGCUAAUACCGCAUACGCCCUACGGGGGAAAGCAGGGGACCUUCGGGCCUUGCGCGAUGGGUUUUGCCCAGGGGGGAUUAGCUAGUUGGUGAGGUAAUGGCUCACAAAGGGGACGAUCCCUAGCUGGUCGGCGAGGAUGAUCAGCCACACUGGAACUGAGACACGGUCCAGACUCCUACGGGAGGCAGCAGUGGGGAAUAUUGCACAAUGGGGGAAACCCUGAUGCAGCCAUGCCGCGUGUGUGAAGAAGGCCUUCGGGUUGUAAAGCACUUUCAGCGAGGAGGAAAGGUUGGUGCCUAAUACGUAUCAACUGUGACGUUACUCGCAGAAGAAGCACCGGCUAACUCCGUGCCAGCCGCCGCGGUAAUAC